rnacentral:rRNA from 1 species
CCCCUAGACGUUCUGGGCUGCACGCGCGCUACAAUAAUACGCACAGCGAGUAUCACCGAGCUCGAAAGGGCGAGGUAAACAAUAGAAAAGGUACUGUAAUGGUUAUAGAUCCUUGUAAUUAUUGAUCUUCAACGAGGAAUUCCUAGUAAGUAUGUGUCAUCAUCACGCACUGAUUACGUCCCUGCCCUUUGUACACACCGCCCGUCGCUCCUACCGAUUGAGUGAGCCGAUGAAACUGCCGGAUGUGGACUAUUCAUAGUCUGCAGAAGAUAUUUGAAUCGUAGCGCUUAGAGGAAGGAGAAGUCGUAACA